rnacentral:piRNA from 1 species
UUAUUAGAGAUGUUUUGGGAAGCAAACGUGUGGUCUAUGUGAGAGGCAGUUCUAUUGUUUACAAAUGUAGGGGUAUCAGUCUCAGAGAUAAUUUCUUAAUUGUUGGUGAAGAUGAAGUUGUAUAGAUCAUCUCUUCUAGCAUCGCUGAUAUUACCACCUAGAGUUCUGUGGUGUGCAUUAAAGUCUCCCAUGAUAAUGUGAUUGUCUGGUCCUACCUUGUUGCAGACGGAGGACAGGUUGUCGAGGAGAGAAGUGAAUGCGUUGUCACUCUGGGAUUGGUCCACAGGGGGGAUGUAGCAAUUGGUGAUGCUCAGGGUCUCCUGUCCAAUCUGGAUCUGGAUUGUUUCUGUGUAUGUGGAUGUCUGAAAACAAAAACUGCAUAGUUGUGGGUUAGCCAGGAUCCAGGAUUUAUUAUCGAGACUAGAGAUCUGCCAGCUCAUUUUGAAUUUAUCACCAUUAGGUGGCGGUUCUUGUUACAGGAUAAGAUCUACAGUCUCAAGGUCGGCGUGAUGUAGGAGAUUAUCAAGGCUGGCAUAGCCUCGACCAAUGUUUUGUGAGAAAAUCUUUAAAGUCAUAUAUAUGUAGUUUUUUUUUUUUUUGGGAACUGGUUAUGGUAAUAUAUGGAUUUUAAUAUAUGUCAGAUUUCAUCGAUGUGACCUUGUUUUUGUAGCAUUGACACCUGUAGGCCAUGGAGUGGUGAUUGGUUUCAAGCUUCCUGGUGGAGUUUGCCAUAUUUGCCUUUAUGCAAUUGAUGCAUUUGGGUUCUUUUUGACAAUUGGUGUCUAGGUGGUCUGCGGCUCCGCAGUUCAUGCAUAGAGCUUCUUCUUUUUUGCAGUUUUUGGUGCCGUGGAAGCCUGCGCACUUCAUGCAUCUUAGUGGUAGUACGUCCUCAAUCCACUUCAAUGUCGUCCAGUCUCCACUGAUUCUUUGGAGACCGUUUUCUAGCGUGGGGGCGGAUUUUAGUUUGUCGAAGGAGGUCUGGUCUAUGGUGGCAUACCAAGUGUGUCUAUCAAAUUUGUCCUUGUAGUGUCUGAAAGGUCUAAUGUCGGGGUUUUCGAGGUUCCCCAUCCUUUGGACAUAUUCAGUGAUCUUUUUUUCAAGGUUUUUAUCGAUACCGAUUAGUUUGAUAGUUGGGGCUCGUCCUUUCGGGAUUUUAGCCGAGAUUUUGUCAUUGUCUGUAGAUUUGUUAAGAAUGUCAGCAAUUUUAUUUGCGUCACUCGUUUCUGGUACUUCAAUGAUGCUGCCCUUGUUCCUAAGGGGGGUUAAUUUGGUCCUCUUAAUUCCGAGUUCCGUUGGUGAGAUAUGUUUUUUUAUGAGGGCUAUAACAUCCGUUUGAUCAGGGAAUUUGGCCUCUAUGAUCACCUUCCCUUUUAGUAUGGUUUGGUCUAUUGGUGCCCUAUGUGGGCGUGGCACAGCGGGGUUGGUGGGUACGCGGGCCUUUACUAAGCCUUCAGCCAAUUUCUUAUUUAUUUUUUCUUCCGUGGCCUUUAAUUUUUCAGUAAUAGAGGUUGGACAUUUCCCAGGUUGGAAAUGGUCUUACUCUCCAUAGUCCCCAAAGUUUUUCUGAUGGUAUCUUGAUUAUUCGAAUUUCUGUUAUUGUUCUCCAUAAUGUCCCUGGCCGUCGAUGUAAUAUCUUUACAAGAUGUAGAAAUAUUUGCGUUCAAGGUUUCUAUGUUGGAUAUAAUGUCAGAAUCUUUUGUAUCAAUGCGACUUUCGAGUUCGGUUAGUUUGGUCGCGAUGCUCCUUUCAAGUUUAUUCAUGAUUCUCUUCUCAGUUUCCUUAAGGGCUGAUUUCAUUGUUGUAGUGAGUAUAUCUAGAAGUGAGUCUUGGGCUGUUUGGAAAAAUUUUGUGAUUUGCACAGUUAAUUCUUCCUUAAUUUCAUCAACGCAUCCUUCCAGUUUGUCUUUGCAUGUAAUCAUUCUAGAAUUCAUAUUUGAAAUUUCUGUGCCUAUUGUUUUAGAAUUUUUACAUAGCAUUUCUACCCUUCCCAGUAGCGCGAAGUUGCCUAUUUCCUGAGGCAAUUGGUCCAAAAGUGCUUUCCCAUUUGAGAGUGUUGUUUUGAAAAGAUAUUUUGUAGCCUUAUCUUCCAGUGCUUUAGCUUUGGUGUUCACAAUCUCUUCAAGGUUUCCGAUAAAAGGGGCGUAGGCAGGGAAGAAGUUUUGUACUUUGGAUAAGAAUUUCUCUCCCAUAUUGUGGGUAAUUUUUUUUUUAAAUAAAUAAUUCUUAUAUAUAUAUUAUAAUAUUAAUAUAUUUUGAAGAGUGGUUUGAUAUAUAGGUAUUCAACUUAGGAAGUUUUCACUAAUUUGAGUGGUAACGAUACCUUAGUUGAGGAGCUUGGCUUGAGAGGUUUUCACUCGUCGAGAUCUUGAUGCUGACUAGAGAUAGGGACAUUCUAGGAUCAGAUUACUACCCAGGCCUGGGAGGCCCAUAAGUAUUAACCCUCCUUUUUAAUACGAAACCUUACAGCCCUCUGGUUGGCAGGAGGGUAUGUUUUACUUCAUCUUCUUUCAACCACACCAGGGGGAACGGACAAGGAAAACCCCCCCCCCCCCCCCCCCUGAUUCUACCAGCAUGCAGACAACCAAGUAUUCUUGGCUUCCUUAAGAUGUUCCACACUAGGACUAGGUACUCUCCUGUACCCAAGAACCUUCCAUCUCUUCGGAAGUUAGAACCUCGAGGUCUCUCCACUGCCUAGAGUCAGAGGGUUUUGUAUACCGAUUGCAUUUCGCCAUGACAAGGUAAGUGCAGAAAUUACCUUGUCAUGCCCACGGGGCGCUGCGGGGAAGCAGCAACCGGUAGACCCUGGUUCACCACCCACCUUGCGAUCCACUCGAUCGUCAGUCUUCCUUUCAGCCUUACUAGCACUCCACUAGAUCAUCGGCAAGCAACCCACUGUGGUCAACUGUGACACCUAACAGUUGAGGAAGAGCUCACUAGCGACAUCGUGAGCUCUUUCCAAUAACCUCCAGUGGGAUUUCAGGAGCUCCAGUUCAUUUGCCCCUCUAACCCUACUACUUUCUUCCACCCCUCUGGGAACCCUCGGGCAAUCCACUAUAAAGUGUUUGGCACUUGCCCCAGGGCUCCCACAUACGCAGUUAUCGUCCGUCUUAAUGCCAAAACGCGCCAAACUGAGAGGAAACAGGCCGUUCCCCGUGAUAAUUCUGUUCAGUUUGUGCGAGAGGAUUUGUCCGUUUCUUUUAGGAGUUCUUACCCAUUUGAACGUCUCGCGACCGUUUAUUGACUCUACCCAUAGAUUUUCCCACAGCCCAUCUAUAUGCGCCCGGAUACGCUUAUAAGUCUCUUUCUUUGGAAUUGGGGUCACCACAUCCCUUCCAGACCAGCAUCCCUCUUUUGCCAGUUUAUCAGCUAAUUCAUUACCCUCAAUUAGAGAGUGCCCUUUCACCCAGCACAACUCGGGGGGAUUAUCCAUGACUUUUAGCAGAUCCACGAUUCCAUGCGCCAUCUGACCUUUCUCCAAUGAGAUGGAGACAAGGGCAGACAUGCAAUCUGAGUAAAUUGCUUUGGGAGACAGACUUUCUCUCCUGCACCAGAUCAGAGCUUCUCUGAUAGCGACCAGUUCUGCUGAAUACACCAGCUCAUCGUGCCUUAGUUUCAGUGUUUGUUGGCCCACUACCAAGCCUUCACUGAAAAUGGCAAUGCCAGCCCCAGUCUUCUUACCAUAUUUGCUCCCGUCUGUGAAUAUUUCUAGUUCUUUGCCAGACGGUGAGCCCUCAGACCACUUCCAUCUUGGUUCCCAUUCCACACCCUUAUCUGGAUCCUUCGCCCAAUCAAGCUCCUCAGGUGAAAUGCCUAAGUCAUUUUGUGUUCUUUCAACCCAGAUAAGCUGCCUCAGUUUCUCUUUCUCCAGCCUUAGAGAAACAGGAGUCAGACCCGACAUCACCAGCAAGGCUUCUGUACUGGUAGUACAGUACCCCUCAGUGAUCCUCAGAGCCGCUACUCUCUGUACUGCCUCCAAAGUUGCACCAACCUUCCUGUCAUGGUUCCUCUUCCACCACGCUCUUGAACCAUACAGGAGAAUUGGCUCAACACAGCUGAGGUAGAGAUUCCUGAAGAUCUCCCCUUCCCUGCCUCCUUUAAGGAGUGCCAAUCUGCAGAGUCUCGAUAGUGCAGACUUAGCCCUCAGCCCUAUGUCCUUGGCAUGCUCCAUCCAGCUCAAAUUGUUAUUAAUUACCACACCAAGGAGUUUCAUUUGUUUCACUAUUUGUAUCCUUUCGUCCCCCAGCAGUAGUAAGGGCUUAUGUUCAUAUUCAACGCCAGUCCGUUUGGCGCGCACGUCCCGCGAUUUGAAACUCAGAGCCUGUGUUUUGCUCGCGUUAAAUUCGAGCCCCGCCAGUUCAACCCAGACCUUUAACCUCCUGAUGCUUUCAUUGGCCAGAGCCUCGGCUUUUCUUCGGGAUUUCUCACGUAUAAUAAGGUAGGUGUCCUCAGCAUAGGCUACCAUACAGGAGCCUACUGGAAGUUCCUUGUGGAGAAUAGUGUCAGCAACUAUAUUUCACAGUAUGGGACCGCAGCAGGAACCCUGAGGGCAGCCCUUUGACAGUAUUCGGUGUAUCUCUACCGCACCUACCUUGAUUGAGACCCGCCUGUCUCGUAAAAAAUCCCUUACUAAAUUCAGCAGGUUAAAGGGACAUCCCUUUGUAUCGAGGGCAUGUACAACCAUAUUCCAAUUUAGGUUGUCAAAUGCGCCAGAGAUAUUGAGGGAGAUUGCGAUCACCCAGUCCCCUCUUGCCCAAAAUCUCUUCAAGACAAGUGGUUGUAGAUCGACCCCUCUUAAAGCCGUGUUGGGAACUGGAAAGGUGUCCGCCAGAUUCUAGCCACCUUGUCAGUCUUUGUGCCAGAAGACUGUCCAGCACUUUUCCCAAACAUGAAAGGAGAGACACAGGCCUAUAAUCCUUUGCUGUAGCGCCUGUCCUACCACUCUUGUCAAGCAACGCGAUCCUCGCUGCCUUCUACGCCCUCGGAAACCUACCCAAUUCCAUGCAGCGAUUGUAUAACCUGGUAAGAAGCGGCCCAUGACUUCUUACCAGAGCCUUCACGAUGGUGUUGUCAAUACCAUCGGGACCGGGGGAUUUUCUGGUCCCAAACUUGAAGGCUGUCCUCUUCACCUCCCUCUCGGUGAAAAGUGGAUCCAUGCACCCCCUACUCGUCGACACCACUUCACUCUCCAGGUGCCCCACCCCGAAGUGCACGUCCAGAAUGUGAGACAGCGUAUCCGAGAGGUCAAGAGUGUGCGAACCAUAACUCUUCCUUAAUAACUUUAAUGCCGUGGGAUUUCGAAACUUAUCUGCGGCCAAUUUGUAUGGCAAGCCAUACUUAUCGUCCGUCAGUGUCCUGCUACACUGAGCCCGCCAAUGACCUCUGCGCGCUUUCCGCGUUCUCUUUUUGUACUUGGCCAAUUCCGCCCUGUACCGUGUCCAUUUCUCUACUCUUUCGCUUUCAUUACAUCUCUGCGCUCUCCUUCUUAGUGCUCUUAUACGCUUGCGCUCCACCUCGAGGUCAUCACUCCACCAGGGCUGCUUUUUCCUCUUAAGGAAAUAACAGUUCCAGGUCCAAGACCUCUGCUCGUAGUAAUGAUAUCAAGGUGAAACCCGUCUACGGCACUAUCCAGAUCGUCAUCAUCCACUGCCCGUUCUAGGUCAUUUUCAAGUUCAGUGUUGAACUUUUCGAGAAACCUCGCAAUGUUCUCUCCCCUGACACUAUACCUGGGAGUCCUCUCUACAGAGGCCGGGUUCGCUGAACUUUUUGCUGUGAAGCUAAUUAGCUUGUCACUAGCAUCAGUAAACUCGGCUUUCCAAGAGUCUUUAAUGAGUCCACUUCCCUUAAAUAGAGUUAGGUCUAUUACGCUUUCACCCAUUUGCGUACAAAAAGUCGGAGUGCCCCAAUCGUUCCAUACCUCCAGACCAUGAGAUAUUAUUAGGGCCUCAAGAUUUCUGCCCCUAGUGCUGUCCUCUCUAUCUCCUAGGAAGAGCGAGCGAGCAUUGAAAUCACCAGUUAUUAGCACGUUUUCAAUCCCAACAUUUCUACACAUUUGACCCAAUAGUUCGAGCACGCCUUGCUCCGUUUCACUAGGCGAAAUGUAUACCGAAAUGCAUAGCAGCUUGAGAUCCGCUGUCUCAAUCAUAACUUCUACUACGCCCCACCAGGAGCCAUACUCGACACAAAGAACGUCACCCCGGACCAAGAUACAGGCCUUCCUACACCCGCUGUAGUAGGUUUUGUACCUUGUGUCCACCCACAUUUUGUCCCUUGAAAUGUACGGCUCCUGCACCGACACCACAUGAAAUCCCUCUGCUUUCAUGUGUCGGUCCAAUUCCUCGUUCCCCCUUCUUGCCCUAGCUGCGUUCAGCUGAGCAAAACUCCACCGAUAUGGUGCUGGCGUCACCAUGAUCGGUUUUGGAGAUGCCAAUGCCUUACUCCACAGGAUUUGGAUCUGGGCGUGUGAUCCACCCUGUACUUUUUCUUGGACCUCUCAUUUGCCUCUUUACAGAGCCAGCAUCCCACUGACUCGAGGCAAGGUCCGUCCACUUCAUGUGCUGACUCACAUUUGUGGCAUCGCCAUGGGUUUCCACACUGUGUCGCCAGGAGGCCCAUGCCUUUACAAUGUUGACAGAAAGGUAUUCUCUUGUUCACUGUCACGCUUCUAAACCCUAUGGCCAGUUUCUUCAAGCCUUUAAGCUUCUGGCCGAUCUCCCCAUUUGUUACUAGUACCCACGUCUGGGUUCCAGCACCCCUAGUGUAGACCUUAAUGAGGCGGUCCUUCUCCCCCAGUUUGACACCGUUCUGGUAUCUGAGGAAAUCCCUUAUUUCCUCGCUGGAGUGUUUGGGGUCCGCUCCCAAUAGAACCAGCUCAAAAGGUCUUUCUUUUAAAUCCCUGCAUUCAACAAUCGCACUUUCCCUCAACAGUGUGAUCGCUUUGGCUUUGUCCUCCGCUUUCAGGAAGGUCAGGACCACCCCCAUCCAUCUUUUAAUCUGAGUCAUCUUGUAUUUGAGGCACCCAGUCUCUUAAUAACCUCCAUCAGGAGGUAACCCUCGGCGUCUCGCUUUUUCUCGACAACGAGCGUCCUCGUUGUAUCCUACCUGCUGGAUCUCCCUUCCGCAGCCUUUGUUGGUCCUUUGGGGGGGGGGCUUCCUAGGGUCCUGAGUCUCCUUCCCAGGUCCCUUAAUGGGUUGGUCUUUCCCUUUAGGCAACUCGCUCCUAGGCUUUGGAGGAAUGGGAGGAGCAACAGGCGGGGCCUUAUUUGAGGGACCUUUACUUUCUGUGUAAGGACGUCCUUCCGACCUUUUUUGCGCGGCUUUCGUCGCCCGCAAUUUUUUAGGGGCCGCUGGGGGUACCUUCGCUGCAGUCACCCCUGGAGAGUUAUUCUCCAUAACCGAGGCCACCUUCUGCUGGCUGGUAUCAGUUGUCAUCGCGGUUUCCCCUUCGUCUCUUUUCUUCUUCCUCUCAUUCUCAUUCUUUCCGCUUGAGGGAACAUCAACUUCUUGUUCCCCUGGGGUGGGCUCCUCCAUAACCUUGCUCACCUCCCUCUCAUGAGCCAAGGCCGUCAUAGCGAACCUUACGCUGUCUCUGACCAUAUCGUCGAAGGUUCCCUUAUCUGGAAUCAGGGCAAUCAGCGCUCUGUUGAGAUCCCUCACCUCUGCGAGGGAUCCCUCCAGGCUCUUGCACCUGUUCAAUAAGGUGGCGAAGCAGGUUUCCAGAAGUCCCAUCUGCUUUACCACCACCCUCCUGCCCAUUUUCAAGGUUUCGAGGGUGGAGGCAAGGACCAGAGGCACUUCCUCCACCUUGCUCGGGUUUAGCCCCUCCACUUGGCUAGACCCUGCCUCCUCCAGUGGCGUCUGGAGUCCCUUCAGGACAGCCUCCUCCACCGUCAGAGGAGCAUCUCCCGGGUCAUCCAACGCGCGCGUCCAUUCGCGCACGUUCUUCAAGGGUCUUAUCUCCUUGGAGGGCCCUUGGUCCUGGGUAUCUGGGGCAUCAGAUCCCUGGGGGCCUUUUAGGGUAGCAACGUCACUAGUAUCUAGGAUCUCAGUCCUAGCAUGGCGUGCGUGCUGACCCAGAGAGGCGAUCUCAUUGGUGCCGGUCGCUAGCUCGCCUUCAUUGGUUGUGUUGGGCGUUACCUCAACUCCGGUUGUCAUCUUACUUGAAUUCGUUUUGUUCAUUGUAAGAUGGGUGUUCCAGUUCAAUAAUGCCAUGAUUACCACCGGUUCCCAAGGUAACCAUGACAUAACCGUCUCUCCAGUCUGUCCGACAAGCUGUCAACGUUAGCCGUACUCUGGUUAAGAGACGCCCAGGGCGCACCACGUGGAGGUGUUGAUCAGCACAUGUAGGUGGCCGUCGAGCCAACCUACUCUACGCAAUCUGCAACUGGACGUCACUCCUGUCACAGACUCCUAUUGGCACCGCUAACUCUUCCACUGAGAUCCACAUUGAUCUGUCGUGAUCAGUUAGCCCCAGCCACCCUCUUUCAGGCUGCCAGGUACAGACCGCUACUACCCGCGAGUCGGGAGCCGAGGACUGCAGGGCUAGGCUCAAAGUCCUACCCACUCUCCAUGCGGUCAGAACUUUGACCCCAGGCCCAGAGAUAGGGACAGAAUAGAAAUUUGGCCCAGUAAAAACUGAGCCAGGGACGAUAUAGGCUUGAACAAGCCCUUGCAUCCCCUGUCGCUAACCAAGCCAGAAAGGGAAUGAUGCAUUCUCCAUGCACCGAGCGGCCAUUGGUAGGCCCCUCGCACCCGCCAGUAUGGUCUGGCUACAAUGGGGUUGACCAUUCACCCACAGGCGUCUCCGAGAGUUCAUAGCAAGGUUGCUGACCGAGCCCUCUCGUUCGGACUUAGUUAAACCCGUCCUAAAGCUCCGUGCCAGUUCUGGGUUGACUGUUGGUCGCCUGCCGAAAUGGACAAGGUGCAAGCACCCAGCUAUGUUUUUUCAUUAUUUUCGGCAAUAAACUUUUUUGUGAAUAUUUUUAUUUCAUCUAUUUUAUCAUCAAAUUUUUUUUUAAUAUUUUAAAUAUAUAUAUUUUUUAUUCUUAAGUAAGUUAUCAAUUUUAUCAUUAACAGCAAUAUUUUGGGCAUUAUCUGGUAUUAAGGGAAAUGUUUUUAAAGCAACCUUGUUCUCAUUUUCAGGCAAUUUUGAGUCUGUCAAAAUUUUCCCUUCCAUUUUUUGAGGGAGUGGCGUUUGGGACUUUGAUUAUUUGACAUAAGAACUUUUCUAUAGGUAGUUUCUAAUAAAUCCUUUAGUUUAUUAUCUAUUAAUUAAUUAUCAAAUUUUUUUUUGAAUAUUUUAAUAAAUCUUUUUUGACUCUAGAGUAGAUCAUCAAUUUAUCAUUUACAGUAAUAUUUUGGACAUUGUCUGGUAUAAUUUUGAUGAAAUCUACUAAGUAUUUCUGAAUUAGCGUACAAAGCUUUUUUUGCGCCUCAAUUUUCGUAUUUUCAAAAUUUAAAAAGAUGCCAUAUUCUCCAAUAAUUUUUAAAGCCUAGGAAACAUGUUCAAACAUGUUUCAUUUAUAAGGUGUGUCCAAUCAAUAAUGAGACUGGUCAAAAAUAAAGAAAAAAUAGAAUAUUUAAAAAAUUUGUAUUUUUCAAAAUAGCCCACUCCCGCAUCUAUACAUAAUUUCCAUAUCUUCUCUUAUGAUUUAAAACAUUUAGAAAAGGCAUCUUUUGGGAUGUUCUUCAAGACCUUUUUCGAAUCCGCUAUGAUGGACUCUCUAGUGUCAAAUCUCCUUCCUUUUAGAGCCAUUUUGAUUUGCGCGCGCAAUCACAUGAUGUGAUAUCCCGCAGUGUAGCUGAAGCUUUCUAUUUUUUGAAUAGACUUUUAAAAAAAAAUUAUCAUUUCAUUUUUUCUUUGUUUUUUUGGCCGGUCUCAUUAUUUAUUGGAUACACCUUGUAGAUCAGGAAUUCCCAUUUUGAAUGAUAUUACAAUUCAGAAAUUAAAACGUAUUUGAAAAUUUGUUUACUUACCAUGAUUACAAAAGGUGAAAGUUAAAAUGUAAACAAAGGCCUAGCACGUAAUUAUAGAAGAAGAAAAAAACUAUAAAAAAUUACAUAUAUUAUAUGUUUAUAUAUAUAUAUAUAUAUAUAGUUUUAAAAUAUUUAAAAUUAAGCCAAAACGAAAUUCUUAUUGCAGAGCGAAUAUAAGAGCAACUUCCACUCACAAUCCACGACUGAGAAUAGCCAGCAGAUAUUCCUGGGAUCACAUGACCACACAGGCCCACAAGUCAGAACCCUCCUUAUAAUGAAACCUAUACAGCCCUCUGGUUGGCAGGAGUGUAAUUCAAGGUCCACCUUGUAUCCGUUCUUCCUCUAGGGUCUCGUAUUUCUUGAUUUUUGCGGCUCUUGCGGCGGACAGGGCCUCAUUCUAGUUUUCAAAUGAUAUGGCCAUAUCUACCAUUGUUACCUUUUUAGUGUCCUUAUUUGAUGGCAUCAAUUUUUUGCCAAGGGGUGAGGAGGCUCUCGUCGAUCUUCUUGACUUUGGUUUCUAGGUCCUGAAGGGCUUUGCUAACAGACCUGGAUUUUGUGAAUCCUGUGAGGACACUUAGGUGCAGGUACAAUUCGUCAUCGCUGGUGCAGGGGCACCUUCGAUCUUGAAGGGAGUUGGCAACACCCGUCUCCUACCUCUACAAAGUAGGUAGAGGGUAGCACAUUUUUGUGGCUUCAUCCUUAGUCUUGCCUUAGCGGCCUUGUCACUGAGGGUGUCUAGUAGAGUGUCCAGGGCUUCUUUAUUCCUCGCAGUGAUAACAAGGUCAUCCGCAUAAGCAAGCGUGGUUGUAAUCCUAUCGAAGACCUUGAUUCCUAGGUUCCUACCAAGUUUUUCUAGAGUCCUGACAUGGGUUUGAUGUACAGGUUAAGUGUAAUAGGGCUGUGCAGGUCGUCGUUGGUUCUACUGCACAUGAUGGUUUUCUCUAAGUUUAUUUUUUCUGUCGCUUAUUUCCCUAUCUUUCAAUUAAAAUCAAAUGGGCAUUGAAGUCCCCUGCCAUUAAUAUAUU